UCAUUUUGGUACCGGUCCCGUCGUCAUUGGUGGCCGGAGGAGAGCACGGCCGGCUGUCGCGCGAGAGAGAGAGGAGAGAGAGAGACCCGCGGGGGAGAGAGAGAGAGAGAGAGAGAGAGAGAGAGAGAGAGAGAGAACCAGAUUUUUAUAAAAAUCCCAUUUCGAAAUAUUUAUGAUUGUGCCACUGAGUUUCUUUUGACUAUAUCUCUCUCGUUACAACUCCGAUUCGAG
rnacentral:lncRNA from 1 species